GCUGGCGGCAUGCCUAAUACAUGCAAGUCGAGCGGAAUGAUGAGAGCUUGCUCUCUGAUUUUAGCGGCGGACGGGUGAGUAACACGUGGGCAACCUGCCCUACAGAUGGGGAUAACUCCGGGAAACCGGGGCUAAUACCGAAUAAUCAGUUUGUCCGCAUGGACAAACUCUGAAAGACGGUUUCGGCUGUCACUGUAGGAUGGGCCCGCGGCGCAUUAGCUAGUUGGUGGGGUAAUGGCCUACCAAGGCAACGAUGCGUAGCCGACCUGAGAGGGUGAUCGGCCACACUGGGACUGAGACACGGCCCAGACUCCUACGGGAGGCAGCAGUAGGGAAUCUUCCACAAUGGACGAAAGUCUGAUGGAGCAAUGCCGCGUGAGCGAAGAAGGUUUUCGGAUCGUAAAGCUCUGUUGUAAGGGAAGAACACGUACGGGAGUAACUGCCCGUGCCAUGACGGUACCUUAUUAGAAAGCCACGGCUAACUACGUGCCAGCAGCCGCGGUAAUACGUAGGUGGCAAGCGUUGUCCGGAAUUAUUGGGCGUAAAGCGCGCGCAGGCGGUUCUUUAAGUCUGAUGUGAAAGCCCACGGCUCGAGCCGUGGAGGGUCNUUGGAAACUGG
rnacentral:rRNA from 1 species